rnacentral:rRNA from 1 species
GUAACAGGCACUGGAGGACCGAACCCACUGUCUUUGAAAAGCCAGGGGAUGACUUGUGGAUAGGGGUGAAAGGCUAAUCAAACUCGGUGAUAGCUGGUUCUCCCCGAAAGCUAUUUAGGUAGCGCCUCGGACGAAUACCAUUGGGGGUAGAGCACUGUUUCGGCUAGGGGGUCAUCCCGACUUACCAAACCGAUGCAAACUCCGAAUACCAAUGAGUACUAUCCGGGAGACAGACUGCG